GUGCUCGCUUUACUGUCCUCUCUUCCCCUUUUAGAGAAAUGGAACCAGGUAACCACCACGACCAAGAGGCCAGUAACCACCAGAGCUCCAGCAAAUACUUUAGGAAAUGAUUUUGACUUGGCUGAUGCCUUGGAUGAUCGAAAUGAUCGAGAUGAUGGCCGCAGGAAACCGAUUGCUGGAGGAGGAGGUUUUUCAGACAAGGAUCUUGAAGACAUAGUAGGGGGUGGAGAAUACAAACCUGACAAGGGUAAAGGUAGGAGCAUUGAUUUGUGCCAACACAAUCCUUAUUCUGGUGAAAAAGGUGAUUAUGCAGCAACCAGAUUAAUUGAGCCUCUGGGAAAUGAGUGGUAGUUCCCAGACAUCCCAGCCUGCCAAUUGGGGUUCAUUCAGAAUGACAUGAGUGAUGCAGUUCAAGGGGGGGAUUUAUAAGCCAUCUUGGAAAAGCUGCACAUUUCCCCUGAUGUUCCUUAAGCAGCAGUGCUGAUAGGUUCAAGUUUCAUGCUGGCUGAAGCCUAUUUGCCGAGGCAACACCACCAAUGACAAUAACUGGGGGCCAGUGGACUCUGAAAACAGCCCUCUCAACCUCGAGAGACUCACUCACUUUUGGGAUGGGAGGAGCAAACUCAUCAUGAUAAGCAUUUUUUUUAAGAGACCCAUAGCAAGUCAGAUGUCUUUUAAAAUACCUUUUUAUUUUGAAAUGGUUCUCAUAAGAAGUUGGAAAAAUAGUUCUAGAGAGUUCCUGUGUACACUUCACCUAGCUUCUCCUUACAUAACCUUAGUCAUUGUCAAAACCAGGAAGUCAACACUAGUACAGUAUUGUUAAAUCAGCUAUAGACUUUGUUCAGAUUGCAUCAGAUUUUGCAUGCAUUCAGAUGUGCGUGUGUGAGCGAGUAUGGGUAGGUCUAUAAAAAUGUUAUGUGUGUAGAUUUGAGUAACCAUUACCAUAAUUAGGAGGCAGAACUGUUCCAUCACCACAAAGAAGUUCCCUCAUGUUACCCCAGAAUAGUCAUGUCCUCCCCGAGGCCAGAUCGUGUUAAUUCCCCAAGUGACCAAAGAUUUCAACCUUUUAUCAUAGUAUACAUCAAGUAUGAAGUAUGAAGGGAAUAUUAGCCAGAUUUGUUGAUGUAGCAAGACAAGCUAGUGAUUGUAACUUGUGGUUGUAACCCAUUGUGAUUGUAACUUGUGGUUGUAAUCUGUUGUGAUAGCAACAUGUUGCGAUGGUAAGCUGUGGUGGUAACUCUGGUUGUAACCUGUUGCAAUGGCAAAUUGCUAUUACACCCGGUUGUAAGUGUGACAAGUUAUGGGUGUAUCUGGUUGUAACUCUCAUAUACUCCCCACAGUCUUGGCUGUGGUUACUAGUGUUUCCUCUUUUCUUGCGAGAACGGUGUGCCUUUCAUACGGCAGUAGUGUUCUCUUCUGAUUAAAGGAUACCAUAGUUAAAUUUGUCCUUUGAAACACCUUUCCAGACAGAGUCAUCUCUACUAAAAAGCACAAAAAGCCUCUAAAUGAAACCCACAGGUGUCAGGAGAACAUGAAACAUUUAAAGGGUAAAUCCAGCAAAUUGGCCAAUUACUCCUGGGUGAUAAGUGGUAUUUCCAGAUGGUGAAAUGAGAGCAGUAGGCACACAUGUAAGCACACACAUGAAUGAAAGUCUGAAUGGCAUGUCAGGGGCUUUUCCUUAUUAAAAGUGCAUGUUUUAGCAAGGAAGAAGUGUUCAGAAAUUCUUUAAUUAGGCUCAUAUUUGAACUUCUCUUGUAAAGAAUAAUCAAUUGUUAGCUUAAGUUGUACCCUCUGCCAUUAUAGGUGUCAGGAAAAGAAGAUAAAGGGAGUCAUGGAAAAAAGGACAAGUGUGAAACUGAAACAUGGUUAUGAUAAGCACACCAUGGAAUUCUCAGAUACUGUCCUUUACACAAAAAUAUGCUAAUGCUGUGAGCAAAGGUAAAAUAUCACAUUUCAAUAAAUUAUGAUCUUCAGCAUAAAAAGAAUCCUAAUUAAUGCAUUUUUCAGGCUUGGGUCUUAGGCACAUAGAUUCAGCUAUACUUUUGGAGUAUAUUUUCAAAAUAAUGCAUUAUUUGUUAUGGACUUUUUUCUCAAGAAGGCCUCUUAUUGACCCUGUAGAAGCCCCACAUUUUGCCUAUAGGUGACGAUGACAGUCUUUUGUCAACAGGUCCUAUUGCCUUUCUCUAAGAAGGUGAUGGCCUAUAAGCCCUCCUCCUCCACCCUUAUUUCCUUCCUGCCCAGCCUAGGCAGGACUCUGAUUGUCUCCCAUUUCUACCAACAGACUGCUUUCCAUAGCACUUUGAGAAAUUUGAGGCCAGUGUUUCAACUCCUCAUGGCCCCCUUGCCAUGUAUAUCCUAGAGUAUGCAAGCUCUAGGUUCCCAGUGGUUCCCAGUGGUUUCCUGAUGGUCACAGCCCUCUGUCCUGUGUGGCCUCUGUAGCAUUUGACUUUGAUGAUCACCUUCUCCUUAACAUUCUUUCUUCCUGGGCCCUUUCUCACUCAUUGACUGGUCUCAUUCAUGAGUCUCAUUCACUGCUUCUUUCUGAACACUGUUGCCUCUUGGAUUUAUUUCCUUGGUGUCCAAUUCUGUAUGUCAUUCUUUUUCACUGGAGAAGAGAAUGGUAUUAGAAAUCAAGAUUUGAGUAUUCAUUGCCUAGUGGCAUAUCACUACUUCUAGACUGUCUAAGCAGACAGAGAUAGGAAACAGGAAAUAUAUGUAUAUAUACUAACCCGUGUGUCUUACCUCAGGCUGUUAUGACAAAUUACCACAGACUGGGUGAUAAUUAAGCAACAGACAUUUGUUUCUCACAGUUCUAGAGGCUGGGAAGUCCAAGAUCAAGUCACUGAUAGAUCCAGUAUCUAGUGAGGAUCUGCAUCCUGUUUUGGAGAUGGCUGUCUUCUUGUUGUAUCCCUGAUUGGUGGAGAGGACAGAGUAGGGAGAAAGCUCUGGUGUCUCUUCUUAUAAAGGUCCUAAUCCUAUCAUGAGGGGUUGGCCUUCAUAAUUAACUCCCAAAGACCCCACCUCCUAAUAUCAUCACAUUGAAGGUUAGGACUUCAACAAAAUAUGACCUUGAGAAGGAAUACAAAUGUUCAAUACAUAACACCAUAUAUACACACAUAUCCAAAUAAUUUCUUUUAACCAUCAGCAGGUAUAUAACCUAAACAUGACUUCAUACUUAUAUCUCCAACUGUAAUCCAGUGCCAGAAGGAUUAUUUUGAUCUUCCUUUUUUGCUUACCUAUAACUUUCCUCUCUGACAGUGAGACACCUAGCUGCUACUACCUGUCAUCUAUUUACUAUCUUACUCAAUUCAGGUAUAUACAUAUAGAGCAUCAGAACUGCUAACUCAUACCCCCAGGAGAAACAACUUUACCAACUAGAGUCCAGUGUUUAUGUUCAGUUUCUUUUGUCUUUACCUUACAGUUUCCAGUCAAAAUACUGUUUUUCAAAGUUGCUUAGGUUCAUUCCUUUACCUUCCUCAUCCAUUCAGUACAGUUAUGCCACCCAUUUAUAAUGGAGUUAGAUUCAUUUGUCAUAGUCUCCUUUCCAUCCUGGGAGUCCCCCACCCACCUGGUUGAUGUUUUGCUCUUUUGCUUGUAGGCAUUAAAGUUCACUCUUUGUAACAUAUAGUUCUAUGGGUUUUGGCAAAUGCAUAGAGUCACAUGUCCACCCCCCAAGUACCAUACAGAACAGUUUCCUCACCAUACAAGGACUUCUGUAUAUGCCCUUGAUAGUCAGCCACUCCCCCUUCCCUCAACCCUAAUCUAUUUUCUAUUAGUGCAACCACUUAUUUGUUUAUUUCUCUAUAGUUUUACCUUAUCCAGGAUGCCAUAUAAUUGGACCCAUACAGUAUAUAGGCUUUUCAGACUAGCUUCUUUGGCUUGGCAAUAUGCAUUUAAAGUUCUUUUGUGUUUUUUCAUAGCUUGGUAGUUUGUUCUUUUUAGCAUUGAACAAUAUCCCAUUGUAUGGAUGUACCACUUUGUUUAUCCAUUCACCUGCUGAAGGACAUCUUGGUUGCUUCCAGUCUGGGGUGAAUAUGAAUAAAGCUGCCAUAAACAUUUUUUUUUUAGAUAGGAUCUCACUCUGUUGCCCAGCCUGGAGUGCAAUAAUGCAAACACAGUUCACUGAAGCAUUGACCUCCUGAUCUCAAACAAUCCUUCCACCUCAGCCUCCUGAGUAUCUGGGACCACAGAUACGCACCACCGUAUUUGACUAACUUUUAAAAUUUUUGUAGG